GAUGAACGCUGGCGGCGUGCCUAAUACAUGCAAGUCGAGCGAACAGAUGAGGAGCUUGCUCCUCUGACGUUAGCGGCGGACGGGUGAGUAACACGUGGAUAACCUACCUAUAAGACUGGGAUAACUUCGGGAAACCGGAGCUAAUACCGGAUAAUAUAUUGAACCGCAUGGUUCAAUAGUGAAAGACGGUUUUGCUGUCACUUAUAGAUGGAUCCGCGCCGCAUUAGCUAGUUGGUAAGGUAACGGCUUACCAAGGCAACGAUGCGUAGCCGACCUGAGAGGGUGAUCGGCCACACGGGAACUGAGACACGGUCCAGACUCCGACGGGAGGCAGCAGUAGGGAAUCUUCCGCAAUGGGCGAAAGCCUGACGGAGCAACGCCGCGUGAGUGAUGAAGGUCUUCGGAUCGUAAAACUCUGUUAUUAGGGAAGAACAAAUGCGUAAGUAACUAUGCACGUCUUGACGGUACCUAAUCAGAAAGCCACGGCUAACUACGUG
rnacentral:rRNA from 1 species